rnacentral:lncRNA from 1 species
CCGCUUCACCCUGCUGGCCUGCGACAGCCUCCCCCGGCGGCAGCGACGCGCCCCCCAGCGCGGGGACGGCCCCCCCGACGCCCCCGGGGACACCCCCGGCCCCCGGGACGCUCUGGAAGAUGGUACCGGCAACUGGGAUGCCCUUAGCAACGGCCUUGGCAACCAACCUGGACACUACGAUGCUCCUAGCAGCCGCCCCGGCAACCAGGAUGCCCUUAGCAACGGCCUUGGCAACGACCCCAGCAACUGGGAUGCCGUUAGUAAUGGCCUUAGCAACAACCCCAGACACUACGAUGCUCCUAGCAACCACCCCAGCAACAGGGAUGCUCUUAGCAACGGCCUUAGCAACCAUCUCAGCAACCAUGAUACCCUUAGCAACAGUCCUGGCAACCAUGAUGCUCCUAGCAACGGCCUUGGCAACGGCUCUGGUAACCACGAUACCCUUAGCAACGGUCUUGUCACCCUCAAUUCCCUUAGCAACGGCCUUGGCAACCACCUUAGAAACCACGAUGCUCCUAGCAACGGCCUUGGAAACGGCCCUGGCAACCGUGAUACGCUUAGCGAUGGCCCUGGCAACCAUGAUGCUCCUAGCAACGGCCUUGGAAAUCGCCCUGGCAACCAUGAUGCUCCUAGCAACGGCCUUGGAAAUCACCCUGGCAACCAUGAUGCUCUUAGCAAUGGUCUUGGAAACGGCCCUGGCAACCAGGAUACCCUUAGCAACGGCCUUGUCACUCUCAAUACUCUUAGCAACGGCCCUGGCAACGACCCCAGAACCCACAAUGCUCCUAGCAACGGCCUUGGAAACGGCCCUAGCAACCCCAAUACCCUUAGCAACGGCCCUGGCAACCACGAUGCUCUUAGCAACAGUCCUGGCAACCCCAAUUCCCUUAGCAACGGCCUUGGCAACCACCUCAGAAACCACGAUGCUCCUAGCAACGGCCCUGGAAACAGCCCUAGCAACCGUGAUACGCUUAGCAACGGCCCUGGAAACAGCCCUAGCAACCGUGAUACGCUUAGCAACGGCCCUGGCAACGCCGAUACCCUUAGCAACGGCCCUGGCAACCACGAUGCUCCUAGCAACGGCCUUGGAAAUCACCCUGGCAACCACGAUGCUCCUAGCAACGGCCUUGGAAAUCACCCUGGCAACCACGAUGCU